CACUGCUGAAAACUGUAGUUUACCCCACAGUGCUACAGUUCCCAGGAUUCUUUUGUAAGGUGGGGUGUGUGUGCUUUAAGAUUGUGCUUUGCAGGCAGCCAAAAUAUGUUUUCUCAUUUAUAUGUGCGACUUUCACUUCAGAGGAGGUAGGGAUCUGUGUCUGAAAGUGAAGUGUGGCGUCGUGGUUUAGGCUAGGUUUGCAGAGGCCCACGUUUAAAUUGUUCUUUGGCCAGCAACUACUGAAUGGUUUGGGGGUGAUUGCUAUUUCUCAGCCUGGACUUCCUCACUGAGUUGUUGUGGAGGACAAGAGUUGAUGGUAGUACAGCGGGGGGUGGGCAGGAAUUAAUGGUCCACCUUGAAAGUUUGCUUUUCAAAGAUUUCCCAAGCAGCCUCACAAUAAUUACAACUCCCAUGAUUCUCUGUGUGAAAUAACCCUGUCAGUUGUUUUUCAUCUGAAUAUAUACUACACCAGGCAUUCAAUUGCUGCCAGAUUUGUUUACUAUGCAUUAAAGAGAUUUAUAGCCCGCCUUUCCUCAUAAGGAGCUCAAGACAACUUAUACUGUAUAGUUUUUAAUAGAUUAUAAAUAUCUGUAUGGUUUCAAUUGUAUCAAUGUUUGAUACUUUAAAAAAAAAAGUUUUGCUCUGUGUUUUUAGCAUUCUUAUUUUUUUGUCUGUAAGCAGCCUUGACUCUGUCAGGGUUUAAACAAACGUAUGUAUGUAUGUAUGUAUGUAUGUAUGUAAUAAUAUGGUUAUAUGGUUCCUAUUUCUUCCCUCACCCAUUUUAUCCUCACAAGAACUCUGCUGGGUAGGCUCAGGCUACACUGAGAGAAAGCAGCUGGGUCAAGGUCACCUUAGCCCAACAGCCUUAACAGCUGCACCUCAGUGGUGUAAAAGCCAGUUCUCAGAGGAGGGGGAAUUUAGUGGGGGGGUGACUUGUGACGUAAUAUGACGUCCCAAACGUCAUGGUUCAUGGCUUCCGAACCGUCAUGCAUCUUGGGAAAGAGAACGCGCAUCGCCUUAUGACCCUCCUUAUUGCGUCCCUGCUGGGUUACCGUACUCUUACUCGCCCGCCCGCCCCGCUUUUUGCUGAGCUUGUGAUAGGCGGGCUGCUCUAACAGUCACCACCGCUUGCCCAAUACCGCGAGAGCUCUCGCGCGGCGCCGGCCAAUGGCACCUUGAGCUCGCGCAGCCCCUCCUUCCCGAGCUCGCAAUAGUAUCUUGUGGAAGGGGAGAGCUUGCGCGCGCGCCCUGCCCCCUACGGUGCCCUUCAAAUGGCAUCGCCCACCGUGGAUCCUCCGCGGGGCGGUGGCAGGACAGACCAAAUGCAAUCUUUCGAGAGGGGUGAGCGUGUUUAAUGGGAAGAUUGGGCGGGGGGGGGACACGACUUCUGCAGUUGGUAUGGAGCAGGCUGAAGUUCCACCGGGAGAGUUUCCCCCCCAGCCUUGCAUUCACUACCCAGAGGACACGAGGUGGCACAGAAGCGAAGAUGUAACCUGGAGGCCCUCUUCCGUCUUAAUCAGGAUCUCUGUUGGGGCCUUCUGCGUGCAAAGCAGGUGCAUUCCCACUGAGCUCCUGUCCUUUCUGCUUGGUGCUUUAAAAAUGCAAUAAGAGAGGCACUUUGAUCACAGCUGCGGUAUCCAUGCUGAAGAGAGAUUGUGGCUCAGCAUCAUGUUCAGCCAUAGCAACCCUAUUUGUAUGAGUGGACCUAUUCUGCAGUUAAGCCAAGUUUCCAACACACCUGCUAGAAAUGGAAGUUUGUGAAAGGAACAAAGCUUUCGUUGAAGGAACUAUUAGUGCUGUUCAAGCCAAGCAGCUGUGAAUAAUUUGCAUGCAUCUAAGGCAUUACCUAUAGGGAUGCGGGUGGCACAGUGGUCUAAACCACAGAGUCUAGGGCUUGCCGAUGAGUAGGUCGGCAGUUCAAAUCUCCAUGACGGGCUGAGC